GCGGGGACUUCGUAAUACGCCUUAAUGAACUCUAAUGGAAUUCAAUCGGCAGUCCUCGAGAACUUCAACCCGAGCGACACAUUUGUGUUGCGAAUACCUGGCCCAUAUAUUGCCAGGGUUGCGCAUAGAGUACAGUACUUAUGAUAGAUUAUCCUAACAAUGGAGCCAGCUUCGCAAUACCUACGUCAACAUCAUAAAUAGCUGUAUAUGAACCACGCUGCACAUGAAAUUAAUGGGGAGAAACUACUUCUUAAGAGCGAAGAUAAGUUGAUCGGAUUUGAAGAUAAUCACAAGUUUAACGUUGGGAAGUUGACUUGAAAGAAUUUGCCUUAGAGGAGCUGCUUGAAGACGAUAGUAUCGACACAGACGAUAUCGAUGAGUUAUCCAAUGGAACCAAGAAUGAAUCUAAUUUCGUGCAAGGUUCGAUAGAAAAGAAAAUUCUAAGGAAAGUUCAGAACUCGUGCUAUACUCUCGAAUACUCUCCUCAAAUCGACGUAAUAGCAUGGAGAAACCACGCAAUCUACCCGAAGAAUGUAUAUAUGCAUACAGCCACGCAAUUUGCUGCCACGCCACCCAUACAACCAGUACAUGCUAAUGGAAAUAAUUCCACGACUUCCUCUCGAACUUAUUUCUUUACAGAAGAUCCAUUUGACUAAUUCAUAGUGGAUAUAACUGGUCUGUAUGAUUCAGGAUGCUGCAUCGGAAGAAUUAAAUAGGUUGAAUUCCGCCUGUCGAUUGAACCUGGAUAAAACCUCUGUUUUAGAGCCAACAUAGUAGCUGUUCUAAAACUUUCGAACGGCGAUAAAAAAAGCGAAAAGUGGAAAGUUAGUGAAUGAUUAAAUGCAAAUUAAGGCAGAAUAAAUCAUCACGUGCCUACAAAAGACAAUUUAUCACACGAGGUAUUUAAUUAAUAAAGACCAGUACCUCUCCAGGUUGUCAAUCAAACACUUGACGCAAUUAAGGUCCUAAAGUUCAAGAGGAACCCUGGGUAACAUAGAAUCCCUAGGUAGUGAACUCAUACUCCUGGAGGGUGUAACUUUUUAAACCUUCUACGCGAGGCGCUUAUCCAUUUACAUAUUCUUUUGAGCGCGAGGUGAAAUGGCUGUAACCUACUCUGAUUCUAUAAAAGGCGAAAAGAAUCUAAUCAACAGAUUUACUUGUCAAAAAGUUCAAAAAGGUGGAUGGAAAUUUUUAUGAAAACGUACAUUUCGCGUCAAGAUGCUUCGCACAGGAUUGAAAUAACCGAUCUUCCGUUUCUGUUAUGACAAAAUAUAAUUUAGAAGAUUACGCAGUUAGAAUAAUCUGACAAAUUCAAAAUGAAAAUGAGAAUCGAAAAGAUAUCGAGAAUUUUCAUUAAUGCUUUUAGAAAUCACGAAAGAUCAUCUGCUUCGAUUUUAUGUUAAACAGUUUGUCAAAUUUAAAUCAUAAUACCGGUCAAUAUAUUCUGUAUUCACUUCGAUAUUAUAUUAAUGUAUACGCGUUUGAAAUAAUGUUGAAACUGUAUUGUCUAUUUAAUCAACUGAUUGCAAAAGUAUUUGCAUGCUAUAUUCAAAUAAUGCUUCGGUAAUACAUUAAAAGAACACGGUAACAGACAUUUUAUUGCUCAAAUAGAACUUGCUAAAAUUGAUUUCUUACUUUCGCUUUUAAUGUAAUCCCUCGCAGUAAUAGUUUAAUAGAAACCGAGUUUAUUAAUAAGUUUAGUAGUAAUUAUAAGUUUUCAAGUUCGAAUGCAGGACUAAGGAAUCUAUGGAAGGUCA
rnacentral:misc_RNA from 1 species